AACGAACGCUGGCGGCAUGCCUAACACAUGCAAGUCGAACGAGAUCUUCGGGUCUAGUGGCGCACGGGUGCGUAACGCGUGGGAAUCUGCCCUUUGGUUCGGAAUAACAGUUGGAAACGACUGCUAAUACCGGAUGAAGACGAAAGUCCAAAGAUUUAUCGCCAGAGGAUGAGCCCGCGUAGGAUUAGCUAGUUGGUGUGGUAAAGGCGCACCAAGGCGACGAUCCUUAGCUGGUCUGAGAGGAUGUUCAGCCACACUGGGACUGAGACACGGCCCAGACUCCUACGGGAGGCAGCAGUGGGGAAUAUUGGACAAUGGGCGAAAGCCUGAUCCAGCAAUGCCGCGUGAGUGAUGAAGGCCUUAGGGUUGUAAAGCUCCUUUACCCGGGAUGAUAAUGACAGUACCGGGAGAAUAAGCUCCGGCUAACUCCGUGCCAGCCGCCGCCGUAA
rnacentral:rRNA from 1 species